UACGAAGGGGGCUAGCGUUGCUCGGAAUCACUGGGCGUAAAGGGUGCGUAGGCGGGUCUUUUAAGUCAGGGGUGAAAUCCUGGAGCUCAACUCCAGAACUGCCUUUGAUACUGGCGACCUUGAGUCCGGGAGAGGUGAGUGGAACUGCGAGUGUAGAGGUGAAAUUCGUAGAUAUUCGCAAGAACACCAGUGGCGAAGGCGGCUCACUGGCCCGGUACUGACGCUGAGGUGCGAAAGCGUGGGGAGCAAACAGG
rnacentral:rRNA from 1 species